GUCCCCCAGCAGUGCCGGUCCACCGGCGCUGCGCUGGAUUUCUCACCUGGCCUUAGCUGUCUUCCCGUGGGGCAGGGCUCGGGACCCGUAGCCCGCCAUGCCUGAGCCUCCCACCACCUCCGUGGGCUCCUGUGCGGCCCGAGCCUCCUCGACCAGCACCACCUCCUGCUCCACGGCGCCCAGUCCCAUCAACCACCCAAGGGCUGAGGAGUGCCGGCGCAUGGCGCAGGACUAGCAGGCAGCUCCGUCUGCAGCCCCGGUAUGGGAUCCACUGGGUGAAGCCAGCUGGGCUCCUGAGUCUGGUGGGGAGGUAGAGAACAUUUGUGUCUAGCUCAGGGAUUGUAAAUACACCAAUGGGCACUCCGUAUCUAGCUCAAGGUUUGUAAAUACACCAAUCAGCACCCUGUGUCUAGCGCAGGGUUUGUGAAUGCACCAAUCCACACUCUGUAUCUAGCUACUCUGGUGGGGCCUUGGAGAACCUUUGUGUCCACACUCUGUAUCUAGCUAAUCUGGUGGGGACGUGGAGAACCUUUGUGUCUAGCUCAGGAAUUGUAAACGCACCAAUCAGCGCCCUGUCAAAACAGACCACUGGGCUCUACCAGUCAGCAGGAUGUGGGUGGGGCCAGAUAAGAGAAUAAAAGUAGGCUGCCCCAGCCAGCAGUGGCAACCCGCUCCAGUCCCCUUCCACACUGGGGAAGCUUUGUUCUUUUGCUCUUUGCAAUAAAUCUUGCUACCGCUUACUCUUUGGGUCCACACUGCCUUUAUGAGCUGUAACACUCACCGCCAAGGUCUGCAGCUUCACUCCGGAAGCCAGCGAGACCAGGAACCCACUGGGAGGAACGAACAACUCCAGAAGCACCGCCUUAAGAGCUGUAACACUCACCGCGAAAGUCUACAGCUUCACUCCUGAGCCAGCGAGACCACGAAUCCACCAGAAGGAAGAAACUCCGAACACAUCUGAACAUCAGAAGGAACAAACUCCGGACACGCCGCCUUUAAGAACUGUAACACUCACCGCGAGGGUCUGCAGCAUCAUUCUUGAAGUCAGUGAGACCAAGAACCCACCAAUUCCGGACACAAUAUGAUGCACUUAAUAAGUAAAGAAUAAAUCAAUUCAUUGAACAUUCUUGGGAAUGUUUUCUCAUUCUAGAAUCAACUUAAAGUUUUGUUCUGAAAUUUCAAGGCCUUUCACGCCAAUUUGUCUAUGGUUUGGAUUUGUGUCCCUGCUGGAAUGUAAAGUUGAACUGGAAUCACCGAGGCUGGAGGAGGGACCUGCUGGGAGGCGAUUGCAUCAUGGGGGCAUAUUUCCCCCUUGCUGUUCUCAUGAUGACACAAAUGAAUAGCAGAACUCUUGCUCCCAUGAAUUGGCAAGUAUAGUCAUAGAAGUCUACCCACUGUGGAUGGGAGACAGAAAAGAAAGAAAGAGCCUGAAUUACUGAGGAGAUAAAGCAUGAGGCCAGCGUGGAUAGGGCAGAAUGAGCUAUAGAGAAAAAAGUAGAAGAUGAGGCUAGAUAAGUAAUGGUGAGGACUGCAGUGUUACAUAUAUAAGGCUAUUGUAAAACUUUGAUGUUCACCUGAAAGGAGAAGAGAAGACAUUGGAAGCAUUGAAGAAUUUAUAGAAGAGAAUGACCAGGCCUAUAUUUUCACAGGAUCACUCUGGCUGAUGAGGAGAAGAGGAAAGCACAAGGAGGAAACUGGGAAUCAGUUAGGAGUCUGUUAAAAGAAGCCUAUAGAGAGAUAAUAGUGGUCUUCACCAAAGUGAUAGCAGUGGAUGAAAUUUGAAGUUAUUGUAAUUUAAAUAUAUUUUGAAGAUAGACUCAAUAAGAUUUGAUUGUUGUAUAAAUGUUGUGUGUGAGAGAGAGAGAGUGGAUUCAAAUAUUUGAUUUAAUCAUCUGAACUGCGGAAAGGAUAAAACAGCCACUAACUGAGGAUGAAGAUUUCAAGAGAGGAAUGCAUGGGGAAAAUAAACUUAUGGUUAAAAUAGCUUUUAUGCAACCCAGUGGCGAUAUUGAGGGAGUGGUUGAAGAGAUAAGUCUGGAGACAUGAAAUUGGGAAUCACUUAUGUAUGCACGGCAUAGGAAGCCACUAGUCAGGAUGAGAUUGACCACAGGCCUGUGCAUGUUGAAAUAAGGUGUAUACCAGUCAGAAUGGCUAUUUUUAAAAAGUCAAAAUAACAGGUGCUGUCAAGAUUGUGGAGAAAAAGGAAUGCUUAUGCACUGUUGGUGGAAGUGUAAAUAAGUUCAACCAUUGUGGAAAACAGGCUGGCAAUUCCUCAAAGACCUAAAAACAGAAAUACUGUUCAACCAAGCAAUCCCAUUACUGGGUAUAUACCUAAUGGAAUAUAAAUCAUUCUACCAUAAAGACACAUGCACACAUAUGUUCAUUGCAGCACUGUUCACAAUAGCAAAGACAUGGAAUCAGCCUAAAUGCACAUCAGUGCUGGACUUGAUAAAGAAAAUGUGGUACAUACACACUAUGGAAUACUACACAGCCAUAAAAAAUGAAAUCACAUCAUUUGCAGGAAGAUAAGUGGAGCUGGAGGCUAUUUUCCUUAGCAAACUAAUGCAGAAACAGAAAACCAAAUACUGCAUAUUAUAACUUAUAAGUGAGAGCUAAAAGAUGAGAACACAUGGACACAAAGAGAGGAACUACUGGAGAGUGGAGAAUGAGACGUGGAAGAGGACCAGGAAAAAUAACAAAUGGGUACAGGAUUAGUACCUAGGUGAUGAAAUAACCUGUGCAACAACCCUCUGUGAAUGAGUUAACCUAUAUAACAAACCUGUACAUGUACCCCUGAACUUAAACAAAAAAAGAGAGAGAGAGAGAGAGAAAUAAAGUGUGUAAAGAUGGAGAGCCCUGAAUAUGCUCACUGUGAAGGAGUCAGGGAAAUAAGGAGAAACAGAAGGGAAGGUGGUCAGAGGAAGGAGACACAGAAGUAAAGGCCAAAGAAGUAAGAGGAAAACUGAGAUAUCCAUGUCCAAAAGCCAUAUAAGAAAGGUUUAGAAGAGAAGGGAAUGUCAAAGUCUGAUAAGUCAAUGGAGAGACAAAGCUUUAGAACUGAACAUUGUAUUUAGCAAAGUGGAGGUGAUUGGUAAUUAUGACAAGAUCUGUUUGAUCGGUGUGCAAGCCCAUUCAGACUUUUUCAAGAUAGAAUAAGAAAAUAAUCUACAACUACUGAAGAGAUCAUUUUAUGGUAUUUUACUGUUAAAGGCAGGAGGGAAUUGAGUGGUUACUGAAAGGAAUAAUGAAGUCAAUAGUUUUUCAAGAUGGUAGAAAUACAAUUAUGUGUAUAUUCUAAUGGAAAAGAUCCUAAUGUGGGAGGACUAGGAAUUAAUGGCUGGAAAGGGAAAAAGUUGCUGGAGUCAAGUUCUUGAGUAAUUAAAAGGAAGUAGAAUCAAGUACACAGAUAACAGUGUUGGUCUUUGCUAGCAGUACAGAAAGUGCAUCAAUGUUAUCAGUAUUGUCAUUGGUUGUAUCAGCACAAUUACAGACAACUGGGUAGAUAAUGUUGUAAUGGGGCUUAUGGAAUUUUUGGUCUGUUCCGUUUUCUCAAAGAAAGAGAGAAUUAAGUUAUUAACAACGAAAAAAAUGGGAAAGGAGAUGCUGAAAAUUUAAAGAGAGAAGAGACGUCAGGGGAACAUUCUUAGACAGGAGUGAGUCUCAAUGAAUGAGUAAAACAUUGCGUGACGGCCAAGAAACACUAAAGACUGCAUUGACCAACAGAAGAAUCCUGAGUUUAGUAAGACCAGUCAGCUAAUGGUGUCUUUCUUACCUUUGAACAUGUUCAGCUGCAGUUUCAGGGCAAAGGUGCAGAGCAGAUCAAGAGUUAGAUAUAAUCAGAGCUGAAGUUUAGCCAAACAAGGACAAAGCUACGGAGAAGAAAGAUAGUGGAGGCUGAAUGCAAGGACAUGCGUAUGAUGAUUGGACUUUAAACUCUGUAAAGAAAGAAGUGAAAAAAUGGAGUGAGAAAGCAAGUGUAUAAAUCCUAAAUUCUGGUGGGAUCUAAGGAUUCACUAGCAAUUGAAACUAGAGGAAAAGUUUAGGAAUAUAAUUUGAUGGUGAUCAGAGAGUAGAAUGCUUCAGAAUGGAUUCUGGAGGGAUUGUAGUUAUUCAUUAAAGACAAAAUGUGAACUAUAAACAGGGACUGAGAGUUUGUAGUAGGGUAAAGAACAAGAUCCUUGAGAGUUAGAGCCUUGAGAAGCCCCAAAGAAUUGAUGGCUCAUACACAUGUAUGUUUACAUCUUAAAUAAUUACCACAGGAGUGGUGUAUUAGUCCGUUCUCACACUGUUAUAAAGAACUACCUGAGACUGGGUAAUUUAUGAAGAAAGUGGUUUAAUUGACUCAGAGUUCCAUGGGUUUAACAUGAAGCAUGACUGAGAGGCUUCAGAAAAUUUACAAUCAUGCCAGAAGGCGAAGAAGAAGCAAGCACCUUCUUCACAUGGUGGCAGGAGAGAGUGAGAAAGAAAUGGGAAGUGCCACACACUUUUAAACCAUCAGAUCUCGUGCAAACUCACUCACUAUCAGAAGAACAGCAAGAGGGAAAUCUGCCCUCAUGAUCCAAUCACCUCCCACCAAUCCCUCCUCCAAUUCAACAUGAGAUUUGGGCUGGGACAAAAAUCAUAUCAAGUAGUAUGUGAAUUACAUGGUAAAUUUCAGUUACAUCAGUUCACUGGAAGUCAUUUUUAAUGAAAGAUACAGGCUGUAUUGUCACUUAAUAUUUGAGAUUCACUGUAUUAUAUUUUAAACAUUUAAAUACAACCAAAGGAAAUGGAAAGAAUGGAAAAGGAUUAUAAUUAAUACCUGCAAUGGUUAAUUUCACAUGUUAACUUGACUUGGCCAUGAGAUACCAAGAUAAUUGGCUAAAUGUUAUUUCUAGGUGUAUGUGUGAUGGUGUUUCCAGAAGAGAUUAGCAUUUAAAUGGGUGGUCUGAGUAAGGCAGAUGGCCCUUCUCAGUGUGGGUGGGUGUGAGAAAACAUUUUAAAUGGUCCAUUUUCAAGGCAUGAUAAAUCUAAGUACUGGCAGCCAGCCUGCAGAUGUAACAAACCACACAGCUAAUGCACCUAGAAGGUCACAAUAAGCAAACAGAAUGUAGGGUAGAAGUUUUAUUAUUGAGAAAUCGAAACUUAAGCGGGGAAGGGGAUGGGGUAUAACCUUAUAAAGGGGAAAAUGAAACUUACUCCAUGUGCAGGAAGAUUGUAACCCCCUAGUAUUCCACCAACGAGGGACUUGGGGAGGGACUUGUGUUCUAGGAAACAAAUUGCCUGCUACAACUGCCCCAGGUGUGCCGCCUACCAGACACCCGAUCUUGCAAGACUGCCAUUAAAAGUCUGGCUUCUGCUGUUCUUCGUGUCUCUGGGCCCAUUUGGGCUUGGGUUUGGAUGGGCAAAUGUGUGUUUCUUACAGUGGGCAUCACCCAAUCCUUUCACGGCCUGAACAGAACAAAAUGGCAGAGGAAAGUUGAAUUCACUCUCUGCUUAUGAUUGCUUGAGCUGGAACAUGGAUUGGCCCUCAGUGCUCCUGUUUCUUAGGCCUUCGGGACUAGAUCAGAAUCUUCACCAUCAGCAUUGUUGGUCCUCCUGCUUUCAGGCCUUCAAACC